rnacentral:rRNA from 1 species
GGUUGCGGCCAUAUCCUGGUGAAAAUACGGCUUCCCGUCCCGAUCAGCCAUAGUCCAAGCACCAGAGAAGCCUAGUUUAGUAUUUUGUAGUGGGAGACGCAUACCGAGAAUCCUGGGUGCUGCAAUC